UGGAACUAAAUUGAUGUAUCGCUGCUUGCUUCCUGACGGCGAUGUUAUCUUACAUCGAUUACUCCCAUAUUUCGAUAACUAUCGAGGAGCAACUGUUUCAGACCGUUCUACAGAAUUUAGAAUUCUCAACUUCAGAACCUGAAACCAUAUCGAAAUACUAAGAUAUACAACUAACAACUAGCGUUACUCAUCUUUACAACUACAAUGAAUUAGUUAAUAUCAGUUUCUGAUUUAAUAACCGAUUUUCAGUGGUGCGUUUAUAUUUUGUAUUGAACAAUAAUGCAUUUGAGUUAUGAAACAUUAAAAUCACAUGACUGCGGGCUACUUGAUCCAGA